CCCUUAGAUGUUCUGGGCCGCACGCGUGCUACACUGAGUGGAUCAGCGGGUCAGGUUACGCGAAAGUGUUUCCUAAUCUUGAAAUCCGCUCGUGAUGGGGAUUGACGGUUGCAAUUUUCCGUCAUGAACGGGGAAUACCUUGUAAGCGCGGGUCAUCAUCCCGCGCUGAAUACGUCCCUGCCCUUUGUACACACCGCCCGUCGCUCCUACCGAUUGAAUGAUCCGAUGAAUAUCAUGGAUUGAGGAUGCAAGCAGGUUCGCCUGUCUUCAUCUUCGAGAAGUGAAGUAAAUCUUAUCAUUUAGAGGAAGGAGAAGUCGUAACA
rnacentral:rRNA from 1 species